rnacentral:rRNA from 1 species
GACGAACGCUGGCGGCGUGCCUAAUCCAUGCAAGUAGGACGCAGUUGCGAACGGGUGAGUAAAGCGUAGGUAACUGCAUAUUAGAGGGGGAUAACAAUUGGAAACGAUAGCUAAUACCGCAUACUAGCAGAUGGACCUGCGUUUUAUUAGCUCUUAGGUUGGGUAAUGGCCUACCUAGGCGACGAUACCUAGACGACCUGGGAGUGUGAUCGGCCACACUGGUGCUGCGACACGGCCCAGACUCCUACGGAAGGCAGAAGUAUGGAAUCUUCAGCCAUGGGGGGAACCCUGGCCAAGCAACGCCGCGUGAGUGAAGAAGGUUUUCGGAUCGUAAAGCUCUGUUGGUAAGGAAACGGUACUUAACCAGAAAGGGACGGCUAACUCCGUGCCAGCAGCCGCGGUAAUUC